AUUGAACGCUGGCGGCAGGCCUAAUACAUGCAAGUCGAGCGGACGAAGGGAGCUUGCUCCUGGAUUCAGCGGCGGACGGGUGAGUAAUGCCUAGGAAUCUGCCUGGUAGUGGGGGAUAACGUCUGGAAACGGGCGCUAAUACCGCAUACGUCCUGAGCGAGAAUGUGGGGGAUCUUCGGACCUCACGCUAUCAGAUGAGCCUAGGUCGGAUUAGCUAGUUGGUGGGGUAAAGGCCUACCAAGGCGACGAUCCGUAACUGGUCUGAGAGGAUGAUCAGUCACACUGGAACUGAGACACGGUCCAGACUCCUACGGGAGGCAGCAGUGGGGAAUAUUGGGCAAUGGGCGAAAGCCUGAUCCAGCCAUGCCGCGUGUGUGAAGAAGGUCUUCGGAUUGUAAAGCACUUUAAGUUGGGAGGAAGGGCAGUAAGUUAAUACCUUGUUGUUUUGACGUUACCAACAGAAUAAGCACCGGCUAACUUCGUG
rnacentral:rRNA from 1 species